rnacentral:rRNA from 1 species
GUUAACGAGGCGAACCGGGGGAACUGAAACAUCUAAGUACCCCGAGGAAAAGAAAUCAACCGAGAUUCCCCCAGUAGCGGCGAGCGAACGGGGAGCAGCCCAGAGUCUGAAUCAGCUUGUGUGUUAGUGGAACGGUCUGGAAAGUCCGACGGUACAGGGUGAUAGUCCCGUACACCAAAAUGCACAGGCUGUGAACUCGAAGAGUAGGGCGGGACACGUGGUAUCCUGUCUGAAUAUGGGGGGACCAUCCUCCAAGGCUAAAUACUCCUGACUGACCGAUAGUGAACCAGUACCGUGAGGGAAAGGCGAAAAGAACCCCGGCGAGGGGAGUGAAAAAGAACCUGAAACCGUGUACGUACAAGCAGUGGGAGCACCUUCGGGU